GGGUCAGAGGAGCUUUUCUCGCACGAUCUGAUAACCAUUGAUCGUGAGCAGGUUAGAAGUUCCACCCCCUCCCCCAGAGAUGGCGGUGUGGGGUUGGCACAGGCGGCACCAGAGAAUGACCUAGAUGUCACAGUGGAUGGCCUCGCUGACUGUGAGGCGGAGGAACCG